UUCUCCCACACGAUUCAGCCUUUUAACCUCCUUCCUUUCCCUUAUCCUUUUCCUACAUGGAGAUAGGUUUUACAGCGUAGUGAGGGCUUGUCGGAGUCGAGAUAAUCCUGAUUUAAUUCCUUCCAUCCCCUUCGUAGAAAAGGCCGGAGCUCCCUUUCGUUCCAUUAGAAUUCCCAUUUGCCGUAACCACAGCAGCAAAGUCUAUGUCAGGUUCAACAACACACAGUUUGGGGUUCUGAUACGGGAGGAUCUGCUCUACUGAAGUUCAAGGGUUCAAUUUUAGACUCUUUUGGUGUCUCCACGGGAUCAUUGUUCCUCAAUCAAGGUUUCUUGUGAUUCGGUUUGUCAGGUGGUGACAUUGAAUAUUUGUCGAGCAAAGGUUUUUGAGUUACGUAAUUGAGAUUGACUGGGUUAUUUAUUUCAUUUGUAGCUUAAGGUGUAGUGUUGUAUCAAGUGAUGGCUCGAAAUGUGCAACAAUACCUGAAGUGAAAAUUCCUUUUGAUUUCUGGUUUGAUAAGGCAUUAAACCUCAAUUUUGUGCACUAUUUAGAUUAAUGUUGAAUUUUUAUAUGGUUGAUCUAUUCAAUAUGAAGUUAAAAGGAGAAUUAGGAUCCAUAAUUUGCUAGCUGAAAUUAGUGUAGACUCAUAGCGUAUUAAGUGAAUCAAGUUAUGCGAUGAUCAAAACAUGGGUAUUUGGGAUCUUCUAACACAUUUAAAGGAGUGCCUGUUACAUUUCAGUCGAAUCUGGAAUGCUGUUUGGAUUUAUUAGUCAUCAAAUUCAAUUCUGGUUUCCAAUUUUAUUCCGUUUCAAGUUUUAAUUCUGAAUAUCAUCUUUGACUUUGUUUAGUAUUAAACUUAUGGAAAUUAGUGUAUUGGCCUUUUUCCUCUAAUUCGUGGAGACAAAAUACUUAUUAUAUCACUUUAUGAAAUGGCAACCCAUGUCUUAUGUUCAUGCCAAAUAAGUUUGAUUGUAAUGGUGGGAUCUAUGGUCAAAAUGUCCUUUUUCAUUUUUCUUUUGGAACUCUUGGUGAGCUUUUAGUAUGUGGUGCUACUCUUGAUUUUAUAACUUUCAGAUUAUAUCUUUUACAUGGAUGCAUUUUUGUUCCUAUUGUUUUGACUAAUUAACUUCUUUCAUAUUCAAUGCCAGAGCACACUUGAUACUGCUUUGGUAGUGAGGCUACUUGACUCUUCUUUGCCUACUUGCCACUCUACUACUUUUAUGAAAUGGCUUCGCCCAAGGGAAUUAGCAUAUUCUGGAAUAGUAAUUGGAAUGAAAAAGGGAGUGAAACAAAGUCUAUUCUUUUAUGAAUUUAGGUAG